GAAAAACAGAAUUUAAGAUUAGAAAAAUUAAAGCAAAAGAAAAUCUAAGUGCAUCUGAUGAUGAAAAGUGAAAUACACAUAGCUGCAAGUCAUGAAAGAAGUAAAAUGAGUAAGAACAUAUUCAAAAAUUCAUCAGAAUUAUAAUUAUUUUUAUGUAACGGCCUCUAACAGAGAAAAAAGACAUGAGGAGAUAGUAUAUAAAAAUG